GUGUUGGCAGCUUUAUCCUGACAGGUCAAAUGCAAUACUUGCACUUAAAUGAACAUUCCACUCUGCUGCAAAUUACCAUAUGUACAGAUUUUCCUUCAACUGAGAUUUGCAGUUGAAGAUGUUAUUGUAAAGUGUGAUCUCUCAUUAAUGUGGAAUACUUCAUCUGAACUGCUAUAGCAUCUUCUUCCAAAUAGAAGAAUGUAAUGUUCUUCAGAAGAAUCGAGUAGAGCUGGUUGGAAACUGUGUGGCUCCCAUCUCCUGCUUCCCCACAG